UACGAAGGGGGCUAGCGUUGCUCGGAAUUACUGGGCGUAAAGGGCGCGUAGGCGGCACUGUUAGUCAGGCGUGAAAGUCCUGGGCUCAACCUGGGAACUGCGCUUGAUACGGCAGAGCUAGAGGAUGGAAGAGGAUCGCGGAAUUCCCGGUGUAGAGGUGAAAUUCGUAGAUAUCGGGAGGAACACCAGUGGCGAAGGCGGCGAUCUGGGAAGAUACUGACGCUGAGGUGCGAAAGCGUGGGGAGCAAACAGG
rnacentral:rRNA from 1 species